rnacentral:tRNA from 1 species
GGUCGCGUCGUCUAGUGGUCUAGGACGCCUGGUUCUCAUCCAGGUAAUCGCGGGUUCGAAUCCCGCCGCGACUACCA